CAAGAAAUUACAGCAACAAUAAUUGUUUGAAUUACGUCUUUUUCUGGGUUCAAGUCAAGAAAUUACAGCAACAAAAAUUCGAGCAAUAACUGAAAUUUUCGAGUGGAAAAAUCGCUUAAUUUCGCCCCAAAAAACCCGAGGAAGUUCAAGCAAAUUACAGCAACAACAAUUGAAGUUCGAUUUCGGCUCGACAUUGUUGAAUUUUUGAAGUCAAUUCCACCUAUGUACUUGGAUGAAAACAAGUCUUUGAUUCUGAAGAUUGUGGAAAGCCAGAAUUCGAGGAAGCUUAAUGAGUGUGCUGAGUAAGCUUUAUUUGCAAACUUUGGCUAUUCUUACAUGAUUCAUAAUUGUGUCUCUGCUUGGUAAUUUUGCAAACUAGUGCGAAAUGGUGGUAUGCAAAACGAUUUCUACAUCCUGACAUUGUGGCACCAUAUGAUUACAUAUUUAUCUGGGACGAAGAUUUGGGAGUGGAUAAUUUUGAUUCUGAAAAAUACGUUGAUUUGGUUAAGAAACAUGGUUUGGAAAUUUCACAGCCUGGUGUGGAUCCUAAUAGUCCGUUUACAUGGCAGAUGACAAGGAAAAGACAUGACAGUGAAGUUCACAAGUAAUAACUAC